rnacentral:rRNA from 1 species
GACGAACGCUGGCGGCGUGCUUAACACAUGCAAGUCGAACGGUAAGGCCCUUCGGGGUACACGAGUGGCGAACGGGAGAGUAACACGUGGGUGAUCUGCCCUGCACUUCGGGAUAAGCCUGGGAAACUGGGUCUAAUACCGGAUAGGACCACUGCCCGCAUGGGUGGUGGUGGAUAGCUUUUGCGGUGUGGGAUGGGCCCGCGGCCUAUCAGGUUGUUGGUGGGGUGAUGGCAUACCAAGGCGACGACGGGUAGCCGACCUGAGAGUGUGACCGGCCACACUGGGACUGAGAUACGGCCCAGACUCCUACGGGAGGCAGCAGUGGGGAAUAUUGCACAAUGGGCGCAAGCCUGAUGCAGCGACGCCGCGUGAGGGAUGACGGCCUUCGGGUUGUAAACCUCUUUCAGCACCGACGAAGCGCAAGUGACGGUAGGUGCAGAAGAAGGACCGGCCAACUACGUGCCAGCCGCCGCCGUAA